GUAGGCGGUUUAAUAAGUGAAUAGUGAAACCUGGUGGCUCAACCAUACAGACUAUUAUUCAAACUGUUAAACUCGAGAAUGGUAGAGGUAACUGGAAUUUCUUGUGUAGGAGUGAAAUCCGUAGAUAUAAGAAGGAACACCGAUGGCGUAGGCAGGUUACNUGGGCCAUUUCUGACGCUAAGGCACGAAAGCGUGGGGAGCGAACCGGAUUAGAUACCCGGGUAGUCCACGCCGUAAACGAUGGAUACUAGCUGUUGGAGGUAUCGACCCCUUCAGUAGCGAAGCUAACGCGUUAAGUAUCCCGCCUGUGGAGUACGGCCGCAAGGCUAAAACAUAAAGGAAUUGACGGGGACCCGCACAAGCGGUGGAUUAUGUUCUUUAAUUCGAUGAUAACCGAAGAACCUUACCAGGGCUUGACAUCCAGGGAAGGUCUGCGAAAGUAGACUGUGCCUUUUGGAACCCUGUGACAGGUGAUGCAUGGCCGUCGUCAGCUCGUGUCGUGAGAUGUUAGGUUAAGUCCUUCAGCGAGCGCAACCCUUGCAAGUAGUUGUAUUUUUCUACUUGGACUGCCCCGGUAACGGGGAGGAANGAGGGGGAUGAUGUCNGGUCAGUAUUUCCCUUACGUCCUGGGCUANAAAACGUAAUACAAUGGCUAGUACAAUG
rnacentral:rRNA from 1 species